AACCAAGAUGCAGCUUGUAAAGGUACAGAGCCCCGUGAUGAAUGUAACUGUAUCGUAUACCUAAACUGUACUGAUAAAUUUAAUGAGAACAAUUGUUCAAUAAAAAAAUACUCAUAUUAACAUUUAUUUAGCAAUCUUUAAAGUGUUUUAUAAAUACAAUAUGUCGUUUUUUCCUCUGAGUAGCAGUUUACUCUUGCCUUUCAGAUGGCCGAACGGACCCGAUAUUGGAUGAUGUUGGUGAAGCUUUCCAGCUUAUGGGAGUCAGUCUUCAUGAACUAGAAGACUAUAUCCACAAUAUUGAACCUGUCACUUUUCCACACCAAAUCCCUUCAUUUCCUGUUAGCAAGAACAAUGUGCUCCAGUUUCCGCAACCCGGAAGUAAAGAUGCAGAGGAAAGAAAAGAAUACAUCCCGGAUUACUUGCCACCCAUUGUGUCUUCUCAAGAAGAGGAAGAAGAAGAGCAGGUGCCCACUGAUGGUGGCACAUCCGCAGAAGCCAUGCAGGUUCCCCUGGAGGACGAUGAUGAGCUGGAGGAGGAAGAGGAGGUUAUUAAUGAUGAGAAUUCCCUGGGUAAGAGACCACUGGACAGCCCCGAAGCUGAAGAGCUGCCCGCCGUGAAGCGACCCCGACUGUUAAGCACUAAGGGCGACACCCUGGACGUGGCACUGUUGGAAGCUCGAGAGCCACUCAGCUCGAUAAAUACGCAGAAGAUCCCGCCGAUGCUCUCUCCGGUCCAUGUGCAGGACAGCGCUGACCCAGCACCUCCGUCACCCGAGCCGCCGAUGUUGGCUCCAGUAGCAAAAUCACAGAUUCCAGCUGCGAAACCAUCAGAGUCAAAGGCAUUCGCACCUAAAGCGAAGACCAAAGCUAGUUCUCCGGGACAGAAAACUAAAUCACCUAAAACGACUGCCCCAUCACCAGCAAUAGUCGGAAGUCCUAUUCGCUCACCAAAAACUGUAUCCAAAGAAAAGAAAUCACCUGGACGUUCCAAAAGCCCCAAAAGUCCCAAGAGCCCCAAGAUUCUGACUCACAUCCCCCAGCUACCCGUGAGGCCUGAAACACCAAAUAGGACUUCUUCCGCCACAGUAAGUGAAAAGAGUAGUAAAGAGACUGUCCCGGUGAAGCAGACACAGACUCCCCCCGAUGCUGGGAAGCUAAACAGUGAGACUCAGCCGAAGAAGGCUGUUAUAACAGAUAAAACAAUUGAUGACUCUAUUGAUGCUGUGAUUGCACGGGCCUGUGCGGAACGGGAGCCGGAUCCUUUCGAGUUUUCUUCUGGGUCAGAGUCCGAAGGAGACAUUUUUACCAGCCCUAAGAGAAUUGCAGGUUCAGAGAGCACCACUCCAAAAGCUUCCACUUCCUCGAACAAUUUCACGAAAUCAGGGUCCACUCCUCUCCCUCUUUCGGGUGGAACUUCAAGUUCCGAUAACUCAUGGACAAUGGAUGCCUCAAUUGAUGAGGUUGUGCGGAAGGCAAAACUGGCAACACCUCCCAACAUGCCUGCCAACUUUCCGUACAUCUCUUCGCCAUCCGUUUCUCCUCCCACUCCUGAGCCUCUCCACAAAGUGUAUGAGGAGAAAACCAAGCUGCCUUCCUCGGUGGAGGUAAAGAAGAAGUUGAAAAAAGAGCUAAAGACUAAAUUGAAAAAGAAAGAAAGGCAGAGAGAUAAGGAGAGGGAAAAAGACAAAAGUAAAGAGAAAAGUAAAGAGAGGGAUAAAGUGAAAGAGAAAGAAAAGGAAGCUGGCAAGGAAACAAAAUACCCAUGGAAGGACUUUCUUAAAGAUGAAGAUUCGGAUUCCUAUAAGUUUAAAAUAAAGGAAUUUGAAGAUGUUGAUCCAAAAGUGAGAUUGAAAGAUGGAAUUGUGAGGAAAGAGAAGGAGAAGCAUAAAGAUAAGAAGAAAGAUAGAGAAAAGGGUAAAAAGGAUAAAGAUAAGCGAGAAAAAGAAAGGGCUAAAGAAAAAGGCCGAGAGGAUAAGAUGAAGGCGCCCCCAGCACCGCUGGUCCUGCCGCCAAAGGAAAUGGCUCUGCCCCUGUUCAGCCCCGCUGCACCAGUGAGGGUCCCUUCCCUGCUGCCUGCCUUGUCACCCAUGCUCCCCGAAAAAUUGUUUGACGAGAAGGAGAAACCUAAGGAGAAAGAACGGAAAAAAGACAAAAAGGAGAAGAAGAAAAAGAAAGAAAAGGAAAAGGAGAAAAAAGAGAAGGAGAGGGAGAAGGAGAAGAAGGAGAAGGAGAAAGAGAAGAGAGAAAGGGAAAAGGAGAAACACAAGCAUGAAAAAAUAAAGGUGGAACCAGUCGUUCCAGCCCCAAGUCCAGUUAUCCCCAGAUUGACUCUGAGAGUUGGUGCUGGCCAAGACAAGAUCGUCAUCAGCAAAGUGGUGUCAGCCCCCGAGGCUAAGCCAGGGCCCGCUCUGAACAGACCCAAGACNNNNNNNNNNNNNNNNNNNNNNNNNNNNNNNNNNNNNNNNNNNNNNNNNNNNNNNNNNNNNNNNNNNNNNNNNNNNNNNNNNNNNNNNNNNNNNNNNNNNNNNNNNNNNNNNGCCGCUCCUGCCUCCGGCCGCAGCAGCGUGCCCCGCUCUCCUGCCGUCCCUGGCUCCGGCCCUCACAGCAGCGGCCACCUCCAAGGCGCCCGUGCGGAGCGUCGUGACCGAGACCGUCAGCACCUACGUGGUACGUGCUCUGCGCGUACGCAGUCGCUCUGGGUCGUUGCGCGGAGCCUUUCGGAGUAUUGUAGAUUGCCAAGCUCCUGUAUACCGUUGCUGAAGCUCAGGGCAAGUCAUCGUGAUUGGAAAAGUGUUUUCAUUGUAUUUGGAGACUUGGCUUUGAAAUAUUAUAGUACAAUGCUCACAUAUGUAUUCUCCAUAAAUAUGUCAAAGCGUUGUUUUUCAUUAUAUGGUUUUAGGAUGUGA
rnacentral:lncRNA from 1 species